GGGCAGGCUCAGGGUCUGAUCAAGCAGAGGUCGGUAAUCCAGAGGUGGGGCAAAGGUACAGGACCGCAGGCAGGCGCAGGGUCAGGUCAAGCAGAGGUCGGUAAUCCAGAGGUGGGGCAAAGGUACAGAACGGCGGGCAGGCUCAGGGUCUGAUCAAGCAGAGGUCGGUAAUCCAGAGGUGGGGCAAAGGUACAGGACCGCAGGCAGGCGCAGGGUCUGGUCAAGCAGAGGUCGGUAAUCCAGAGGUGGGGCAAAGGUACAGAACGGCGGGCAGGCUCAGGGUCUGAUCAAGCAGAGGUCGGUAAUCCAGAGGUGGGGCAAAGGUACAGGACCGCAGGCAGGGUCAGGUCAAGCAGAGGUCGGUAAUCCAGAGGUGGGGCAAAGGUACAGGACCGCAGGCAGGGUCAGGUCAAGCAGAGGUCGGUAGUCCAGAGGUGGGGCAAAGGUACAGGACGGUAGGCAGGC
ensembl:lncRNA